UUUUUUUCCCUACCGGGUAAGGCCUAAAGGCCUAAUUCUAAUUCAGUCGUUCUUCUUCUAGGGUCAGCAAAUCCAAUCUCGACACUGUGCAAAGUCAAUCUUCAAUCAUCGAAUCACACUUCCAUUUCCUUUAUUUUAGCGAAGGGUUCAGUCAAAUCGAAAGUUCGAAACAGAAAACACCGAGCGAAUCAGAGUAUUAGACUUCGUUCAGCGAAUCAGGAAUUAUCGGGCUGCAACAGUGAUGUUAAUUCCUAGGCUUUUGAGAGCAGGAGCAUGGAUGGUCAAAGAGCUCUCCAAAGAUAGUUAUAGAUGUGUAUCUCGAACAGGAUGUACACAUCAACUAUGGCGACCUUUGGUUAGUGAUCUUUGUUUCA